GCCACCCCGCCGCUCCGUGAUGUCAGGCUUUCCUGUUUGUGCUCGGGAGCACACUCUCCCUUUCUGAAAUCCCGCGGAUAAAGUUAGCACGCCGUGAUUUCUCCAGCUCUGAAGGUGAUCGGCAGCCAGCCACCCUUUCCCGUGGAUCAGGUUUUCCUGAUUGGCCACCAGGUGCCCCCAAAAGGUGAAGAGAUGCGGAGUCUAAACAACCUCAAAAUGCAUCUACAACUGAAGAUGACCAAACAAAAAUAACCAGAAGACAAGAGAGAGAGGGAAGGGGAACCGGGAGAGCUUGGGUUUUAUGGAAGCUAACGCUGAAAGAAAAGCUUACUGCCACUAAAAAUUCUCAAACACACUAAAAUCAAUCUUGGAAUACAGUCAAUGGACCUUAGAAUACUUCGAAUGAGUAAAGAUUUACUUUCUGUCAUCAUCACAAGAUGCUGCACACAUUUGAAAAGGAUUUUCCCUGUUUAAAGACAAAGAAAAGAAUCACGUAAAUUCAACAGAAAGGCACUGUAAAGAAAUGACAAUACAACUGUAAGUUAUACGGCAACGUUAGAACAAAUACUAGAAAGAGGUAUGGCGAGAAGUGAACACGUGGGAGAAGUACUCAGGAAGUAGACACUUGUUACAGAGUUUGGAAGUCUGCCCAUGAACCUGAGCUUAGCGGCUGGAGCCUGCUGACUGCUGACCGACAUUCUUAUUCCCUCCCUGCUGAAGACAUUUCUUAGGGCCACCUGGUGCUAGAUUUUCCAGUACCAGCACCUCCCAGCCUCAAGAUCUGCCAGCCACCUCCCAACAUCAGCUCCACUCACCCAGGCAAGUAGAGUGACCACCUUGUCAUCUGCUGCCAUAUUCCUCUGAGUCUCCCUUCCAACGCCUUGUCUGCAGCCUAGACUUGCCCCACAGCUCCUACCCCAGCCCCCCGGCAGAUCUAGCCUCUGCCAGCUUGCUCUGUCUUUGGCAGUGAACCCGGCCAUUUCUAACAAUGUCUUGAGCUAUAACGAUCAACCAUCAAGGCCCUGAAAACUUCCACCCCCCGCCACUGAAACUUCUUCCUCCCUAAGCUCGUGUACCCUUUACUCCAGUCAAAAUCAUCUCCCUGUCAUUUGCCAUUCAUGCCCCACGCUUACUGACCUCGCUGAUUCACUCCAUCCAACGACUCAGCCUGGAAAGGGCCUUCUCCCAUUCCAUCCCCAUUCCCUGAGGGAUUCUUACUAAAUAUUAAGCCCCCAAACAUGACAAUCUGUAAUCUCCUCCUCAUCCUGACUGGAAAUGACAUCCCUCUCCUCUGAACUCCUCCAGUUCAUUAUCUGGAUUUCCAGUAUGGCUUUUAUUACAUUCUUCCUUCUUGCAAAUGUCUUAUCUCCCCAAGAAUAUAAAU